GGAAGGUGGGGCAGAUCCCAACUGGCCCCUGUCCCUGGGCUGCAAGCUGACAGCAGGCCAGGGAAGCAGUGAGGCCUUCUGCCCUGGCCUUGGGGAGAAGGAGUGCAUGUGUGAGGCUGGGAUACAGUGGCCCUGGAGUGGGGCUAGGGCUCAUCGCCAGCACCAGGCGCGGGGAGGAUUUAAAACCAGAGUCCUGUCUCUGAGCCACCCCACAGGGACGCUUGAUCCAAGCCUGUUAAGGCCGUGGAACUCGAGGGUAGGCAGUGGGCUGGGCCACCGUGGGUUCAGGAUGGAGGUGUGGGGGCUGCCCUGGAGGAACGUUAGUGUUUCUGAGAGCACCUUAGUGUUGCUCUGCCUCAGCCAGCUGGGCAAGGAGUUGGGGAGCGGGGAGGAGGCCGGCGCCAUGGAGUGGGGAAGGGAGCCGUCACUGUUGGGGAUCAGCCGCUAGUGUAAACGAGCAUCUCCACCCACCCAGAUAAGCCCCCCACCCAAGUGUGGAGCCCUGCUCAGGGAGUACCUCAAGGGCCCCGGCCUGGGUGGCGCCAGCAGGCUUGGACACUGCCCUGGCAGCAGGGGCCCCGUGGAAGGCAGGAUACCCAGCAGGGGGUGCCACCCAGUGUGGAUGGAGGGGCAGGGCGGGGGCGCCCCUGAGUCACUGGGCAGAGGCACGAGCACGUCCACAUAGCUGAGCAGGAAGAAGCCCGACUGGCCGUCCAGCAUGCCCUCGUAUCAGUUCUCGUUCAUCUGGUUGAUCAGCAUGAAGACAUCGCCCUCAUGGAAGCCCAGCUCCCUAUCUUUCUCCGGCUCCAAGUCAUACAGCCCUUGCAGCUCGGCUGGUCUAGGGGCGGCAUGCUCCUGCUAGGAGUCCAGAUGGACUUGUCGUAAGAUCGGAAAGAGGACGAAGCUGCGAUCUUGGGGACUGUGGUGCAGGGGAAGCCCCGGUUGGACUGCUCAGGCUUUCCGAGGUCAAAGCACUCCCGGGGCUUGGGCUUAUACUCCCGCCUGGGUCGUGAGGAAGCUUCCCGGAUCCUGCACUUGAACUUCUGGGCCAGCUGGUCCAGGAUCUGCACGGCCUGCCGGUGGUAGUCCAGCUGCGCCUCUGCCAAGGCCGGGAGUUGACUCACCUACUGGAUGUCGGUCUCCAGGAGGUUGUGCAUGCUGGUUUCUGCCACCUCCUUGGACUCCUCAAACUUCUCCAGCGCCUGGUGCAGCUCCUCUUCGGGGAUCUUGCCCUGCCGCUUCUUUUAGUCAAAGUCCAGGCGGCGGCCCUCCAGCUUCUGCAGGUGGUGCUGGAUCUCCUUCAGGUCUUUCUCACAUAGGUUCUGGAGGGGGUCAAUGAAGUUAUGCUUGACCUCUAUGUCCAGGGAGUCCUUCACCUCUGCCAGGUGCUUCAUGGGCUCGCCGGCAUCCAGCAGUGCAUCGCUGAAGUUGGACUCGUCGCGCAGCUCCUUCCCAUGGCGGAUCAGGCACUCGCCCAGGAGCCCCCCUGACUGCAGGUAGCCGGGGUUCUUCACCUGGCCCCGGAUCUUGCACGCGGUGUUGAGCAUGGUCAGUUUAGCCUGCGAGGCUGGGUUGGGCUGCGGGUACUCGAUGGUCCUGGACAGUACUUACGUCACCGCCUUGCUGAUGACAUCCACCUUCUCCAUCUCUUCGAAGUCAUCAUCCAGCUUGGUCCCCUCAGCCCCUCCGACCUUCUCACUGACCAGUUGGCUCGCCUUGUAGAACUGCUUCUUCAGCCCGGCAACCGACAUGCUGCCUCCUGCCGCGGAACCUUCCGCCCAGACCCCCCUGCCCAGACCCCGCCAGCGACAGGCUCCCGGGCACCACCAACCCUCUGCGCGCCUCAGCGGCCCCCAUCAGCACCGCCUCCACCACCCGCUUGCCAGCUCGGCGCCCGCCCCGGCGCCGCCUCGAGUUCAUGAUUCUUUAGUCUCCUUCAAUCUAGAUCUGUUCCCAGGAUUGUUUAAAAGCAUACUGACAAACCUUUGAGACUGUAAAUGACCUGAGGUAUACAUUAUCUUUACUUGAGAAUAGUAAUUUUUCAAUAUGCAUUAAAGAUCAUUACACAUGAGCUAAGACAAAUGAGCUGGUCUACUUACUUUGUAUAUAAAUGUGUAAACUCCUGAAGACUUCCAAUAAUGAACUCCAA
rnacentral:lncRNA from 1 species